GCCCUUGGCACCGAGAGAUAACAGCAUUGCUGCUUGACCGUACGCCAUGCCGCAGUUCACUGUAUAGACUUUGGCUUUGCAAUAUCCCAUAGUAUCAGCAAUAGCAUAUGCCUCAGUUUCAGAUCCAACGUUUUCCAUUUUCUCAUUCUGUGUCCCUGGUGAAUUUAUGUACAGGUAUAUAGGUUUGGAGGGACUAUCAUAAUCUAACCACAUAAACUGAGCGACAAGAAGCUCAGUCACUGCUGGAACUAUAGGCAUGCCCAAGUAGACAAUUCGAGCAUCUAGGAGCAGUGAAGGCAAAUCCGGAGGUGCAGUUCUUGGCCUUCCGUAUCCCCGGGAACCUCCACGGUACAUACUUACACUCAUACUGUACCUUGAUGGUCCCUCCUUCAUGCCAGAAAGGCUAUACAUCCCUCCAUUAUCAAGGUAAUUCCU
rnacentral:misc_RNA from 1 species